GACGAACGCUGGCGGCGUGCUUAACACAUGCAAGUCGAACGGAAAGGCCCUGCUUUUGUGGGGUGCUCGAGUGGCGAACGGGUGAGUAACACGUGAGUAACCUGCCCUUGACUUUGGGAUAACUUCAGGAAACUGGGGCUAAUACCGGAUAGGAGCUCCUGCUGCAUGGUGGGGGUUGGACAGUUUCGGCGGUUGGGGAUGGACUCGCGGCUUAUCAGCUUGUUGGUGGGGUAGUGGCUUACCAAGGCUUUGACGGGUAGCCGGCCUGAGAGGGUGACCGGCCACAUUGGGACUGAGGUACGGCCCAGACUCCUACGGGAGGCAGCGGUGGAGAAUAUUGCACAAUGGGCGGAAGCCUGAUGCAGCAACGCCGCGUGCGGGAUGACGGCCUUCGGGUUGUAAACCGCUUUCACCUAUGACGAAGCGUGAUUGACGGUAAUGGGUAAAGAAGCACCGGCUAACUACGUG
rnacentral:rRNA from 1 species